GACGAACGCUGGCGGCGUGCCUAAUACAUGCAAGUUGAGCGCUGAAGGUUGGUACUUGUACCAACUGGAUGAGCAGCGAACGGGUGAGUAACGCGUGGGGAAUCUGCCUUUGAGCGGGGGACAACAUUUGGAAACGAAUGCUAAUACCGCAUAAAAACUUUAAACACAAGUUUUAAGUUUGAAAGAUGCAAUUGCAUCACUCAAAGAUGAUCCCGCGUUGUAUUAGCUAGUUGGUGAGGUAAAGGCUCACCAAGGCGAUGAUACAUAGCCGACCUGAGAGGGUGAUCGGCCAAAUUGGGACUGAGACACGGCCCAAACUCCUACGGGAGGCAGCAGUAGGGAAUCUUCGGCAAUGGACGAAAGUCUGACCGAGCAACGCCGCGUGAGUGAAGAAGGUUUUCGGAUCGUAAAACUCUGUUGGUAGAGAAGAACGUUGGUGAGAGUGGAAAGCUCAGCAAGUGACGGUAACUACCCAGAAAGGGACGGCUAACUACGUG
rnacentral:rRNA from 1 species